UACGUAGGGGGCAAGCGUUGUCCGGAAUUAUUGGGCGUAAAGAGCGCGUAGGCGGUCCGAUAAGUCGGCUGUGAAAGUCAUGGGCUCAACCCAUGAAAGCCGGCCGAUACUGUCGGACUAGAGUUCGGAAGAGGCGAGUGGAAUUCCCGGUGUAGCGGUGAAAUGCGCAGAUAUCGGGAGGAACACCAAUUGCGAAGGCAGCUCGCUGGGACGAUACUGACGCUGAGGAGCGAAAGCGUGGGGAGCGAACAGG
rnacentral:rRNA from 1 species